rnacentral:lncRNA from 1 species
GGUUUGGUGCGCCAUUUUGUCUUUUUUUUGCGUGGCGUGCGAGUGCCUGUGCAACGCGCGUGUGUGCUUUGGAGCUGCAGCCUCAAGUCGAGUGCACGGGUAAAGGUUCACAGGACAGGUCUGAAAGGUCAACCUCAAUCAUAUUUGGCUGUGGAUAUCACUGCAACUUUGGCACUCGACCAAGCGAGGUACAUUGGACAGAUCAACCGGACCAAAAGGCACCGGGGUAAAAGAGAAGGGAGCGGAAUAGGACCAAGGGUGCUCAGCCUUAUCAAAGUGCUUUGAAUAAUAAAUGUGCAAGUAUU